rnacentral:lncRNA from 1 species
GAAAAUAAUCAAUAAAGUUUAACAAAUACAAGCUGACAGUGUGUCCAAAAUACAUAUUGAUAUACUAGUAAGAUACAAUUAUAAAGGUAUAUUUGAUUAUUCAAGGUAUAUUUAUUUGUGGAAGUCAUUAGAUGUUGUAAUACAAUAUGUAGAAUAAUUUUCAUACAUUUUUAAACGAUUUAAAACAAGACAGAAAUUUUCUAAAAUAUAACAAUAAUCACUCUUGGUUUUGGAAUUUGGUUAAACUUGACCACAAAAGGAGUAAGUUCGAUAAGGCCCUAAAAUGGCCCCCUUUUUAGCAUAAAUUUCAAAUUGGGAUUUGUUUACCAAUAUCACAAUGAAUAAUUGCUAACACAGUGACUAGAUAGGAAAUAAGUCUUUUGUUGAAAAUUUACAUUCCUGCGUUUAAUUCAUCACUUCACAAAUAGUACUCAUUUUGAUUUUCCAUGAAAAAACAAUGGGUAAAUUUCAACUGAAUAUUUGGACAGGAAACAUAGAGCACAUACGUCGACAAAAAAGAUUUUUGACAAUAAUGUUUGUAAUGACAUUUUACAUGUCUAACUUGAAUAUUUAGGUUGUCGACGGCUGCGCUCUAUGUUUCCUGAUCCUAAAUUUGUCUGAAAUCCUGCCGAUUUUGUCAAAUUUUGCCAAAAACCCUUAGUUUGACCUAACUGGGAUGUAAAAAUCAACUCUGUAGAAUAAAACUAUGACAGAAAUUGUUCUAUAAAACUUUCUCACAUGUCUUUAAGUCAACUUAAAACAUUUUUUAUCUUGUAGCAUUGAACUUUAUAAUUGUGGCCAAAUAUGACCCUUACCAAACUUACUCCUUUCAGAGAAGACAAUGAGCCAUAUGAGCUAUAAAAGAAAAUUGAAAAAAAUCACCAUCAUAAUUUCAUGAAUAUACAGUGGUUUUCUGUCUUUCGUUUCCCAUGUAUCUAAAACUGAAUGGUAGCACAAAAUAGAAUAUUAACAGUUUGAUUCCUUGAGUUUUAAAUAGUAUAUCAUUUAAUGAUAUUAAUGCAAUACAACUUGUACAAGUUUAUUUUUAGAAUAUAAAUGUCAACAAAUUAAUAAAUGCCUGUACGUUCUAUAAAUGCAUAGUUAUAAAAGAAUGUCAGCAGAAUAUAAAAUUAUAAAAUAAACAAUAAAUAAAUAUACUAUAAUACACAAUAUCACAGUUUAGUAUUAGCAGAUCUAUGGGCAAGCAAACAACCCUGUUUAACAACUUUGUAGGUAUAUAAAUAUAAUAAACAUAAAAUAUAUAUAUUUUUUUAAUUUUACAUUUGUAUAAUAAUUUUUAAGUAUAGUCCUUAUAAGAUUCAUACUAAAUGUGAUUCAUAGAUGGAAGGCCUACAAUUGAAAUUUUAGGAUAAUAAAGGAUGUUGUAAUCUAUAUAUAAUUUAUAUGAACCCUUACAAGAUGAGACAUAAUUCUAUAGAAUGCACUACAAAAACUCAUGUUAAGGGAGAUAACUCAAAUAUAUCCUUUAAAUCUUUGGUCAGAUGUCCUGGUAAGGCAGUAAAUGGAAAAUAUAAUUAAUUCAAUUCAUGUAAAUCCACUAAACUGAUUGACAACAAGAAUGUGUCCAUAGUACACGAAUGCCCCACUCGCACUAUCAUUUUCUAUGUUCAGUGGACCGUGAAAUUGGGGUCAAAACUUUAAUUUGGAAUUAAAAUUAGAAAGAUCAUAUCAUAGGGAACAUGUGUACUAAGUUUCAAGUUGAUGUAACUCUAACUUCAUCAAAAACUACCUUGACCAAAAACUUUAACCUGAACUUCGCACUAUCAUUUUCUAUAUUCAGUGGACCAUGAAAUUGGAGUCAAAACUAUAAUUUGGCAGUAAAAUUAGAAAGAUAAUAUCAUGGGGAACAUGUGUACUAAGUUUCAAGUUGAUUGGACUUCAACUUCUUCAAAAACUACCUUGACCAAAAACUUUAACCUGAAGCGGACGGACGAACGGACGCACAGACGGUACGACGAACGGAGGCACAGACCAGAAAACAUAAUGCCCCUCUACUAUCGUAGAUGGGGCAUAAAAAUACAAAUGUGUAGCCUUUCAUGAAGCAUAUCACAAAAGUAUGAUCUUGUUUGAUUCAUAUAUGGACUAUAACUUUAGUAAAAAAAAAUUCAUACACAUAGAAUACAUAAGAAAUAAAAUUGCCAAAGCUCAAUCUACUGGAUUAAAAUAUUGAGAAUACAAUAAAAUAUAUCUCAUUUCAGAAA